rnacentral:rRNA from 1 species
UACGUAGGGGGCUAGCGUUGUCCGGAAUCAUUGGGCGUAAAGCGCGUGUAGGCGGCCAGGUAGGUCUGCUGUGAAAACUCGAGGCUCAACCUCGAGACGUCGGCGGAAACCAUCUGGCUAGAGUCCGGAAGAGGAGAGUGGAAUUCCUGGUGUAGCGGUGAAAUGCGCAGAUAUCAGGAAGAAUAUCCGUGGCGAAGGCGGCUCUCUGGGACGGUACUGACGCUGAGACGCGAAAGCGUGGGGAGCGAACAGG